GAUGAACGCUGACAGAAUGCUUAACACAUGCAAGUCUAUGGUAAAGUUAGUGCUUGCACUAACGGAGCCGUGGCGGACGGGUGAGUAACGCGUAAAGAACUUGCCUUAUGGACUGGGAUAACAGUUGGAAACGACUGAUAAGACUGGAUAUAAUUAUACAUUUGCAUGAAUGUGUAAUGAAAAGAGAUGCCAUAAGAGAGCUUUGCGUCCUAUUAGUUAGUUGGUGAGGUAAAGGCUCACCAAGGCAAUGAUAGGUAGCCGGCCUGAGAGGGUGAACGGCCACAAGGGGACUGAGAUACGGCCCUUACUCUUACGGGAGGCAGCAGUGGGGAAUAUUGGACAAUGGAGGGAACUCUGAUCCAGCAAUUCUGUGUGCACGAAGAAGGUUUUCGGAUUGUAAAGUGCUUUCAGUUGGGAAGAAGUAAGUGACGGUACCAACAGAAGAAGCGACGGCUAAAUACGUGCCAGCAGCCGCGGUAAUACGUAUGUCGCGAGCGUUAUCCGGAAUUAUUGGGCAUAAAGGGCAUCUAGGCGGUUAUGCAAGUCAGGGGUGAAAACUUACGGCUCAACCGUGAGCUUGCCUUUGAAACUGUGUGACUAGAGUACUGGAGAGGUGGGCGGAACUACACGAGUAGAGGUGAAAUUCGUAGAUAUGUGUAGGAAUGCCGAUGAUGAAGAUAGCUCACUGGACAGAAACUGACGCUGAAGUGCGAAAGCUAGGGGAGCAAACAGG
rnacentral:rRNA from 1 species